ACGCGUAUUCUCGGGUUGAUAAU
rnacentral:miRNA from 21 species